rnacentral:rRNA from 1 species
AUUGAACGCUGGCGGCAUGCCUUACACACGCAAGUCGAACGGCAGCGGGGACUUCGGUCCGCCGGCGAGUGGCGAACGGGUGAGUAAUGUAUCGGAACGUACCAUUGAGUGGGGGAUAACGUAGCGAAAGUUACGCUAAUACCGCAUAUUCUCUCCGGAGGAAAGCAGGGGACCGCAAGGCCUUGCGCUCUUUGAGCGGCCGAUAUCAGAUUAGCUAGUUGGUGAGGUAAAGGCUCACCAAGGCGACGAUCUGUAGCGGGUCUGAGAGGAUGAUCCGCCACACUGGAACUGAGACACGGUCCAGACUCCUACGGGAGGCAGCAGUGGGGAAUUUUGGACAAUGGGGGCAACCCUGAUCCAGCCAUGCCGCGUGAGUGAAGAAGGCCUUCGGGUUGUAAAGCUCUUUCGGCCGGGAAAAAAUCGCAUGGGCUAAUACCCUGUGUGGAUGAUGGUACCGGAAUAAGAAGCACCGGCUAACUACGUGCCAGCCGCCGCAGUAA